GAAAUUCCCUCCCACAGGACGUCACAGAGUUUGACAGCUUUCACUGCAGAAGAGGAUGCAAAUGAGAGAAGUGAAUCCCCAUAAAUAGGAGCUGACUGGUCCUCUGCAGCAGAACUUGAUUCAGCAGAGAGCUGUUGCAUUGGGUAGAAGAUCCUUCAGCAGACAUCUCAUCAGCGACACAAAGUGGAAGAUGGGCAGAGCAGCCGGUGUGACCAUCCUCAUCCUCCUUCUGUGUGCCGUCACUGCACAGGGUUUUCCGAGUUUAGGAUUAUAUGGACGGUGCCACUGCAUUAGAACCAGAUCUGUUUUUAUUCAUCCAAAGUUCAUCCGGAGCCUGAAAUAUAUUCCAGGAGGAGCUCACUGUGAAAACACAGAGAUAAUGUGAGUAAAUGAGUCAAAGCAUCAACUUCAACCUUUCUCCAUCUGUGACUGUGAUGAUGUGCACAUUGAACUUCUGGGGAAUAUAUUUUAAAUAUCACCUUCUCUUCACAGCAUCACACUGAGACAUAAGAGAAAGGUGUGCGUGAAUCCUGAUGCUAAGUGGGUGCAGGCAUUCAUAAAUGCCAACAAAGGUGCCAGAAAAGACAAAUGAAAGAUGAAGCUACAGUCUGAAGAAUGCAACUCCGUGCCAGAAUUACCUGACAGGGACAGAGGAAGAUCUGCUCUAUUUGUUUACUAUCUGACAUUGCCGUCUGAUGGUUCAUUCUAGAGUCUUCACUUCAUUGACUUCUGUGGAUAAUUUCACUUCACUGUUCAUCCUUUCAGUAUAGGAGUAGAAAGGUUCUUCUGCAGUUGUGUAGGGCUAUUGCAAGACCACAUCUAUAGUUUUGUGUACAGUUUUGGUCUCCUAAUUUGAGGAAGGACAUCCUUGUGAUUGAGGCAGUGCAGCGUAGGUUCACGAGAUUAAUCCCUGGGAUGGCGGGACUGUCACAUGAGGAAAGAUUGAAAAGACUAGGCUUGUAUUCACUGGAGUUUAGAAGGAUGAGGGGGUUCUUAUAGAAACAUAUAACAUUAUAAAAGGACUGGACAUGCUAGAUACAGGAAAAAUGUUCCCAAUGUUGGGUGAGUCCAGAACCAGGGGCCACAGUCUUAGAAUAAAGGGGAGGCCAUUUAAGACUGAGAUGAGAAAAAACUUUUUCACCCAGAAAGUUGUGAAUUUGUGGAAUUCCCUGCUACAGAGGGCAGUGGAGGCUAAAUCACUGGAUGGAUUUAAGAGAGAGUUAGAUAGAGCUCUAGGGGCUAGUGGAGUCAAGGGAUAUGGGGAGAAGGCAGGCACGGGUUAUUGAUUGGGGACGAUCAGCCAUGAAUGGCGGUGCGGGCUCGAAUGGCCUCCUCCUGCACCUAUUUUCUAUGUUUCUAUCUUACUAUGAUGCAGGACUUGUUUGCUCUUGUCACAAUAACAUGGUAACAUCACAAGAUAGUCUGCAAUUGAUUUGUAGUUCUCCAUAAUCAUUUGGAGUUGGUUUCUAAUCAAUGAACUGAAACUGAAGUUAUCCGUGGAAAAUGAUAAAAGAAAUGUGCCAGUAGUUAAUAUUUCAUAUUAGAAGUCAGAAGAGUGGGAGGUGAUGUUAGUUUUAGAAUAGCAUUUCCAUGGACAUAUUGUCCAUUUUGAUCUUUGCCCACAUGGAAAUGCAGUGGAUGGGAUUGGCAUGCGAGAGGUUGGCUGAGUUCUCUGUUGGUCAGAAAUUAAGGCUCAUUAAACUACUUGAAUAACAUUUGCACCAGCUUGUCCCAGCUCCCCUAAUCUCCCCUUCCCCUAAACCUACACUCCCAUGCCUGCAUCCCUCAUAUGAGAACUUACUGGAACCCAUUCUGUUUUCACACAUUACCUCCACAAUCCUACAUGUGUUACCAGCAAUGGAGGGCUAAUAUAUCAGGAAGUUAUAUCAGGUGCAGUGAUCUCGGUUAGAAUGUCGAAAAUCAAAAAAAUGUGAACAUGUUUUUAAUUUUACUGGAAGAUAUAGAGUAAAGUUGUAUUGUUUCAACAUUUCACAUGCUUCCUUUCCCUGAUGAAUCCUGUUCCUAGUCUGUGAUAUGCAGACAGGAAUACUGCGGUCCAGAUCUGUUUAUUUCAGUUUGAAUGAAAACAUUAUUUUUAUUGAAAUACUUACAAGUGUUGUUGGUGCCCAUUUACAUUAGUGCCUAUUGAUCAUUUUUACUGACGCUGUGGAAUUUUCUCUGUAAAAUGUCAGACUAAGAUCUAUCCAAAGUCUGAAGAAGCAAAUUAUCUGCAGAUGUAAUUUUUAUGUAAAAUACUUGCAUUUUAGAAAUUGGUGCUGCUAAUAGUGUGAUUAUUAUUUGAGGAAAUGGAAUUUGUAAAUAGGAAUAAUGUCUGUACACUGAUUAAUAGAAAUAUUUUGUUGUGGAAGAUUGUUCACUGACUGAAUUUAGUUGACCAAAUGACAUAUCUCGACAUUUGAUGUUUAUAAAUUUUGUUGACCAUUCCACAAAUGUAUAUAAGAAAGUAAAAUAAACUGGAUUUCUCAUGUCAGUGGCAUUUCAUGGAGUUUCUACAACUCACAGCAUGCAACACAAGCGGUCUGGACAAGUGCUGGGCCUCACUCUGAGAGAACCACACUGCAAAGUGGAAGCAGUAACACUGCAUUUGUACAAACAUUGAUUUAAUCCAAGGCUUUAUACAAUGAUGAUAGAAGGAUUUGGGAGGGGGGUAGCCAGUGGAGGUACACAAUCCGAAGAAUGAUCCAAAACAAAAUGCAUAAUGUGAGUUAUGGAUGGGCGAACAAGGAUUUGUCUCUUAAUUCUAAGUGUGCAUCUGUGUGUGUGUGUACACAUGUGUCUGGUGUCAGUUACAUGUCUGCUCCACAUGUGAUGACUGAUUCCUGUGCAGUGGUCCUUGGACUCCAGACGUCGUGGUCCCCUUGCUACUGAAGUCCUUGUGGUAGCUGGUGAAACCUGGAAAGUCAGCAUCCUGGUAGACAGUCCCAAAUGCCACUCUGCUAUCAUAGCUUGGGAAAGAUGAUGCUUUGACCACAUCACCACACUGGGAGAGGCACAGUGGGCAGGAGAUGGCGAGUUUAAAGAACAAGACCGUACCUACAUCCUCUUCUCAAGUGGAAAAACAGAAGUAGAACCACUGUCCUGGGCUAACGUAGCCCUGGACACCUGACUAUUGAUGCUUGUCUGUAUGGAGUUUGUCCCCACAAUCUGCAUGGGUUUUCUUCAGGAAGCUCCGGUUUCCCCCCACACUCCAAAGACGUACAGGUUUGUAUGUUAACUGGCUUGAUAUAAAUGUAAAUUGUCCCUAGUGUGAGUAGGAUAGUGUUAGCGUACGGGGAUCGCUGGUCGGCGUAGACUCGGUGGGCCGAAGGUUCUGUUUCCACGCUGUAUCUCUAAACUCUAAACUAAACUAAACUCCAAGCGGCACAGAGCACAACUUAACACAGAAAUCAUAAGAGGAGAGGAACGUCGGGUCACGGGCGUGCAGAGGCCUGGGGCUUACCACCGCUUAUCUGGAUCAGGGUUGCUCCACUACUUCAGGCAUGCGAACUUUAGACUGUUCUUUCUUCUUUGUAAACAGCGCCAAAAUAUGGUGACUGUGCAUUUGUGGUUGUGCAAAAGAAUUUCACUGUGCUGUGCAUGCGUGACAAUAAAGAACCAUUGAACCAUUGAAGAGACUGCUAGAAUAUGAAGCAAAAGAUAAAGUGCUGGAAGAACUCAGCAAGUCGAGCUGCAGCUGUGGAGAGAAUGGACAGACAUUGAUUCUGAUCGGGACCCUUGUUCAAACUGAUCUUCAGCCUGAAAAAGGGAUCUGACCUAAAAAAUUGUCUGUCCAUUCCCUCCACAGAUGGUGCCUGACCAACUGAGUUCCAGCAGCUAUUUAUUUCUUACUCAGUAACACUGCCUUCAAGGAUUGAGCUUCAACAUCAAGAGUGACCCAGCAUAACCCAGAGGGGUCUUCCUGUUGUCUGCAACAGGAAAAGUCACCCCAAGGUUGAUCUGAAUUGGAAAUGAAAAUCAAAACAACCAUUGAUGUUGUAAAUCUGAAAUAAAAAUAGAACAUUUUAGACAAUAGACAAUAGAAAAUAGGUGCAGGAGUAGGCCAUUCGGCCCUUCGAAACAGCACCACGAUUCAUUGUGAUCAUGGCUGAUCAUCCUCAAUCAGUACCCCAUUCCUGUCUUUUCCCCAUAUCCUCUCAUUCCGCUAGCUUUAAGAGCCCUAUCUAGCUCUCCCUUGAAAGUAUCCAAAGAACCGGCCUCCACCGCCCUCUGAAGCAGAUCAUUCCACACUCACAGCAGGUCAGGCAGCAUCAUUGGAAGAGAAAGGGUUCUGGCAAAGGGUCAUUUCAGAAGUUCAGAAGUACGUUAUGGGAGCAGAAUUAGGCCAUUCGCCUUUAGGGCUGCCGGCCCAUCAAGUCUACUCUGCCAUUCAAUCAUGGCUGAUCUAUCUUUCUCGCUUAACCCCAUUAUCCUCGUAUAUCCUCCUCUUCCCAUGGAGUGCUGGGGGAUGAGGGGGGAAUGGAGGAUAGGAGUUGGAAGAGGGAUGGCA